rnacentral:rRNA from 1 species
CCCUUAGAUGUUCUGGGCCGCACGCGCGCUACACUGACGAAUGCAACGAGCUUAUAACCUUGGCCGAAAGGUCUGGGUAAUCUCCAAAUUUCGUCGUGAUGGGGAUAGAUUAUUGCAAUUAUUAAUCUUCAACGAGGAAUGCCUAGUAAGCGCAAGUCAUCAGCUUGCGUUGAUUACGUCCCUGUCCUUUGUACACACCGCCCGUCGCUCCUACCGAUUGAAUGGUCCGGUGAAGCGUUCGGACCGUGGCCUUUGGACGGUUCGCCGUCUGUUGGCUGCGGGAAGUUCGUUAAACCUUAUCAUUUAGAGGAAGGAGAAGUCGUAACA